UGGCUCAAUUGGUAGAGCAUGGUGUGUGUAACGCCAGGGUCGUGGGUUCAAUUCCCAU
rnacentral:tRNA from 1 species